AGUUGUGCAACGUGAAGAAGAUUACUGUGGGGACAAAGGGAAUUCCGCACCUGGUGACUCAUGAUGCUUGAACCAUUUGCUACCCAGAUCCUGUCAUCGAAGUGAAUGAUGCUGUCCAGAUUGAUUUAGGGACUGGCAAGAUAACCAGCUUUAUCAAAUUUGACACAGGCAAUGUGUGUAUGGUGAUUGGUGGAGCUAACCUCGGUUGUGUUGGUGUGAUCACAAACAGGGAAAGACAUCCCAGUUCUUUCGAUGUGGUGCAUGUGAAGGAUGCCAGUGGCAACAGCUUUGACACGAGGAUUUCCAACAUUUUUGUCAUUGGCAAUGGUAAUAAACCUUGGAUUUCCCUGCCCAGGGGAAAGAGCAUCUGACUUACUAUUGCUGAAGAGAGAGACAAGAGGCUGGCUACCAAACAGAGCAGUGGCUAAGUUACAGUAGUGGCAUAUUUUUUCUCUUUGCACAAAUAAACAGUGAAUUC